CGGCUGCCAAGCUGACCCAUUACGCCAAAUGGGAAGUCUUGGCCAGGAAACUUAACUCUGUUGAAAGUGGCGUUCUCAAAAAUGUAACCAAGUGGCAACAGUCCCUGCGAGACUUCAAGAACAAAACAAAGAGAAAAGCAAUGAAAGGACAUAAAAGCCAGGAGCUAAGCGACGUUUGCUGGCACUUUAUUAUGAGGACAUCCCAGAAACCAAGCCCAUAGGCAUUGAUAUAAGAUGUGUGACAGAAAUAGACCCGCUGUCUUCUGAUGGCAACUGCAGCAGUUACAACCUGUUUCCAGAGGUGUUCCCUACAUUUGCCUGCCAACUCAAGACGGAACGGUCCUCACCCCUCUCUGCACCUGAUGGCAAUGAAUUGUGAUGCAGCAGAGAACCCGUGCCCCGACGGGCGGCUGUGCCCGGCGCACUGGCUGUGCUGCGAGGUGGGGUGCUGCGCCCCCGGCGCGCCCUCGCGCCGUGACGACGAGCCCCACAAGGAGCUGCCGU